AAUGGGCGCAAGCCUGAUCCAGCCAUGCCGCGUGAGUGAUGAAGGCCCUAGGGUCGUAAAGCUCUUUCGCCUGUGAAGAUAAUGACGGUAGCAGGUAAAGAAACCCCGGCUAACUCCGUGCCAGCAGCCGCGGUAAUACGGAGGGGGUUAGCGUUGUUCGGAAUUACUGGGCGUAAAGCACGCGUAGGCGGAUUAGUAAGUCAGAGGUGAAAUCCCGGGGCUCAACCCCGGAACUGCCUUUGAUACUGCUAGUCUUGAGUUCGAGAGAGGUAAGUGGAAUUCCGAGUGUAGAGGUGAAAUUCGUAGAUAUUCGGAGGAACACCAGUGGCGAAGGCGGCUUACUGGCUCGAUACUGACGCUGAGGUGCGAAAGUGUGGGGAGCAAACAGGAUU
rnacentral:rRNA from 1 species